AUAAAUUAAAAAAACCCUAAACAUUUUGUUUUGAUUUAUCAUAAUAAUAAUUAGUUGUUAUUGUUUUUAUUUGUUGAUGACCAGCGGAACUAUUUAUUGAGAAUAUGGAUGAAGACUGGCAAAUGAUAAAUCACCUAAAAAGUUGGCUUGACUAAUAAUAAUAACAAUUCAUAUUUAUGGUUUUUAUUUGUUAAUGACCAGGACAAACACAUAAAAAAACUUUUGCUUUAAUUUCAGCUGAUUUUGAAGACCUAACUGAAGCUAAGAUUGUAGAAGAUGCGUUCUAUGAUUGUAUACAAUGGGCCAGUCAGUACGAAAAUUCCCUGCCUUAUUGUAUGUCAACGUAUCUUUUUAUCAUGUACAUGGGUAAAACUGAAAAAGAUAAAGAUAUCGCGAGAGAGUACUUAAUACGUAAAAAACACCUCUUGGCUGCAAGCAUGAAAAAAGAAUGUUGGAUAGAUUUACAAGCAUUUGCUGAACUCUUCAUACACCAUUGCAAACAAUAUAAAUUAUCCAUUAAAUAUUGCGCUGCACAAAGGAAAUACGCAGCACAAGUAGAGAAGCAAAAAGAGACAGAACUCGACGCAGAGCGUAGGCUAUAUCUAAAAAUGAUGUACCCUAACUUCGAUUUCCCUUUUUAAUUUUUAAUUUAAAAACAUUUUUCAAAAAAGUUUAUAUUUUAAAUGAACUAAUAAUAAUGUAAUUUAAUAAUCUCUCGAAAUGUUAUGAAAAUAAUUUUUCAGAAUGCAAUACGCCCUAAUGACU